UGGUUAUACAUCAUCUUUCUGUUGAUGUGGAUCCCAAGAUGUAAAUUUCCUGAACUAUUUGUAGGUGAUGUUUGAUGGUGUUAAAUGUCUGAUGCAUUCAUUGGAGAAAGGACAAGAGGGUGUGAUGUCUUUUUUUUUUUUCCAAAAGGAAAUUGCUUUAAUGAGAUUUUCCCCAGCAGUUCUGACCCCUCUACCUUUCAUAGCCUUGUGUGGUUUUGUUGGUGGUAGUUUUUUUGUAGUGGUGGUGGUGGUGGUUUUCUCGCAGGUUGAAUAGCAAUACUGAUUUUCUCCCUAUCAGCUCACCAGGGAAAGGGAAGUGUUGGGGUUACAUGGAGGAAGAAGUCGGGGGAAGAGAGGAAGGGGACGACAGGUGGUCUGGGAGGAAGGCACUCAGCCAUCCGCCGGCCGGUCCAGGACUGUUCUGCAGGGAGGUCCUGAGCCUUCCCUUUGCAAGCUGAAGCACUCCGAGUUGUGUCGCGGCUGCUGGAGCGACCCUCACCUAACCCAGGUCGCUCAGAGGGAAGCCCGGAGCUCCCAGUCUGGUCUCCGGUUGUAUCCCGAUCGCUGGCUGCAUUUGCCCGGAAACAAGGGUGACAGCCCAGUCCUCUGCCGCUACUCCACGCUGCCUGCAUCUCUCCAUCUCUCCCCGUCUCUCCCCGCGUUGCGUUUCUGGGUCUACAGGGGGGCGACAGCGUGGAGCUCACUAUUGGCCGCUGCAGCCAGCUGGGAGGGACAUUGCGGAAUGACUGCACACGUAGCAGCGCACAGGCUUCAGGAGAAGCAGGAAGGCAGAGCCUCUCAGGUGUCAGUACAGCCUAGUGGUCUAAGGCGCCAGACCCAAGGCAGCAGCCUUCCGGUGGGUGUUCUGGUCUCCAAAAGGAGGUGUGGGUUCGAUUCCCACUUCUGACACGAAGCUCCUUAUCCCUGUGUCAAGUAGGGUUCAGCAUUAUCCCAGGGUCCUUGAAAGAGAGAGCAGGGCAGUCAGAGGCAGAGGAACCAGUGUGACAUCAGAAGGAGGGAAGAAAGGAGAGAUACCCAAAGAUGAAGAUGAACUGUUGCUGUCUUUGAAGAUAGACAGAGGGGCCAAAGCCAAGGAAUAAACACCUCUCUAGACCAAGAAAGCCAGAGGGAAAAAAACUCCCCUUGGACCUACAGGAGCAACGGAGCCCUGCUGCUGAUACAUUGAUUUUGGCUCAUUCUGGCUUCCGACUGUAGAAAGGAAGCUCCUUAUCCCUGUGUCAAGUAGGGUUCAGCAUUAUCCCAGGGUCCUUGAAAGAGAGAGCAGGGCAGUCAGAGGCAGAGGAACCAGUGUGACAUCAGAAGGAGGGAAGAAAGGAGAGAUACCCAAAGAUGAAGAUGAACUGUUGCUGUCUUUGAAGAUAGACAGAGGGGCCAAAGCCAAGGAAUAAACACCUCUCUAGACCAAGAAAGCCAGAGGGAAAAAAACUCCCCUUGGACCUACAGGAGCAACGGAGCCCUGCUGCUGAUACAUUGAUUUUGGCUCAUUCUGGCUUCCGACUGUAGAAAGAUGCGGAAACAGAAAGAGACAUGAAGUGACUGCUGAUGAGUGGGAGGGCAGGCUGGCAGCCAGCCUCCAGGGACCACCUUCUACCCACUGUACUGUACUUACUGCCUCUUCAGAGGCCACAUGGAAAAAGGUUUAGCUCCGGCAGUGUUUGGUAGAAGGACACCAUCAGAAGGACCCACAGAAACUGAGGGUACUAGAAGGCCUGGACCUAAGCAGGUAGACCCUGGCAAGACACAGAGGUCAAGAAAUAACAUGGAGAGAAUGGAUGAGAGGGAAAGGUAAGGAAGAGGUGAGAGAGUGCUCCUGGAAACCAACCCUGCUAUUUCCAGAGUGGAGAAGCAAGGACACUACACUCGGGGGAUUGAGCCUUCCUUCCUAUGGGGUAUAGAUGCUGCUUCCUAUAAGACCCUGUGUAUAGAGAGGGCUUUUCCUCUACCUUGCUCACAAUUAUACUGACUGGCUUCCUGCU